CCAGAGAGGGAAGAGGGAGAAAUAUAACAAAAUAAGAUUAAAUAGGAAAAACCUGUCUCCCUCUUUUAUUUUACUUUCAGUGUUUAAUCAAGGGUGGGGGAUUGAGGUGGUGGAAGUUACUUUCUUUUGAUGAGUAAUUGAUGGCUAUUUGUGACUCAGAUUUGUUUAUUUAUUUAUUUCAGUUUGAAGUUAUUUUUAUUUAAUAUUUAUUUAUUUAUUUCAGGUUGAAUUUUUUAUUUUAUUUGACUCAUACAGCCAAACUACUGUAUCUACAGUACAUUUGUUAUUGCCAGUAAAGGUUGUCAAGUUAAAUGGCAAGUUGUUGUACAGUCAUUUUGUACCUAUGAUACAUAUGAUACAUUUGGGAUGGGGGCCUCCAAAUAAAAUUUCGCUUAGGGCCCCAAUUUGGUCAGGGGCAGCCCUUUUCAUAUGCCACAGUCAAACGCUUGGUACAAGAAUUUAAGUGUGGCAGGGAGAAUGCUGAAGAGGAGCUGAGGUCAGCGAGACCAUCAACUGCCACCACCAGAGAAAACCUUGGCCUUGCCCUGGACAUGAUUAUGCAAGAUCUAUCACUCUGUUCAUCAGACCUGGUCCCCUUGGACUUCCCCCUGUUCCCCAACUUGAAAAAACUUUAGCUGGCAAAAGUUUUGCCAAUGACAAUGAUGUCAUGGAAGCUGUGGAAGAAUCAUUAGGGUCCUGACCUAUAGAGUUCUUUUCCACUGGACCGCUGGAACAAGUAAGUGUGUUGCCCUUGUCGGGGAUUAUGUUGAAAAAUAAAAGCACUGAAAAAUCUUGUAUAGUUGAGUUGUAUAAUUUCCAUGUGACAAAUAAAUGAUUUAUUGAAUAAAAAUUGGAGAUGCUGUGCUCCUGAAGAACAACCAGACCAAAAGAAGUAACCCUCCCUGGAUGUAUUCAAGAACUGCCUCAGAGGUUGUGCUCAAAGAGACAUAGUGGCAUAGUGCAUUAUACUAGGUAGUGCCACCUUUUAUGAAUGUUAGUAGAGCAUUGACUGUGCAGCACUGUGUAUCCAUAAGGACUUACUGUAGUUUUUAUUGCACUGAAAAAAAAUAAUUGAAGCACAGCUGUGGAUUUUUCCCCUUCUUUGUUAUUUUUCUCGGCUAAGCCCUGAAGAACAUAGAUCUUUUUUACAAGCACUUCUGAUAAACAUUCAUAAACUUACCUGGUGUACCCCCAUGAUGUUGAUUAAGUAAGCUGUUAGCUAUCUGCCAAGCUACAAAUCACGUCCAUGUGCCAGUAAGUUCAGAAUAGCUACUGUUGUGGAGUGCUGAUCUGAAAUGGCAUAGAGGUUGACAUACUUGGAGAAAUAAUCUUGAACUAGAGCAUACCUGUUACCACAACUUGUGAAUGGGAGCUCAAGUAUGUCAGCCGCAACCUUUUGGAAGCUCUGUGGUGAGGUGUGGAACUCCAUUUUGCAUCACAUAGAGUACAUUACUUACACCACAUCCUGAUGUCAAGUGACGUGAACAGCCUAAAGUACAGUUGCUGAGCAUGUUUUAGGACUUAGAAGUAGUGCCGGAGCUGUGGUGAUGUAUAGAACUGAAAGGGUAAGAUGGACUUACAGUACUGAAGUGUUUCUUUUCAUGGUGUGGACUGACUCUGACUCUGCUCUGUAGGUCUGGUGUCAGCAGGUCAAUCGGACAUUGCAUCUGCAUUAAAGUGGCUGUAGACAUAUUUGUGAAUUACAGUCCACUCAAAAGUAUUAAGUUCAAAAGCCCAGUGUGCACCGCAACCAAUUCUAUUAUUAUUAUUAAUAGGUAUGUUGCUGUGAUCCAAGAGAGGUUUGUGGUCUUUGGCAAUAAUGAAGGGCCUAUUGUAUAGGUAGUGGCAAAAAUGUUGUGGCUAGUGUAUGCAACUACUUUCUCCUGAGGUUUUUGGACACAACAUUACCCCAAAACUGAACCUGAUCUUUGGCAAAACAACAUUUUGAUGUAUUUAGUUGGAGGCCUCCUGACUGAAAUCUGAGAGAGAGGAUUUCUUCCAGGCGCUGGAGGUGUUUGCUGACAGAGAAGCUGUAAAUUAGGAUAUCAUCCAAAUACAGUCAGCGGGUUUUCUAUGGGAGGCCAAAGAUUACCAUCUCCAUCAAGCAUUGGCAUGUAGAUGGAGCAUUUGUGAAUCCCAUUGGCAUAACUGUAAAGUGAUAGUCCACUGCUUGUUGUGAAUGCUGUUUUUCAGGGUGCACUGAUAAUAUGGAAGAAGGGGGGUUGUUCAAUUUACAAGUAUGAAUUUUGUAUAUGCUACAUAAUUUUUUUUUAUUUCUCUCUAAAACAUGAUUAAAUCUUAAAAAAGUAUUUCAAUACUGAGCAAUGUUAAACCUACAUGUCUCUGUCAUUUUAAGAAGAAAUAAAAAAGUUAUGUUUUAUCAGGCGGAAGUAAGUUGAAAAGCCCGCCUCUAGAGGGCGGUCUUUUCUGGGCUUUUUUUUUUUUCAGUACAGAAGACUGUUGUUGAGGACCUGCAGGCUCUGCCAUUUUCUCCCUCGCUGUGAUGUUUCUGUGGAUUUGGUCGGCUCUGGACACGAUGAAGUGAAUGUAGCAGGGAAUGUGCUGUGGAAUAUUUGACAUACUGGGUGCUGCUAUGUCAAAGGCUCUGUAGUUGUGUGAAUGUGGCAGUGUAAAGGGUGUUCAGUUGCUGUGCAAAGUAGGUCUGCAUUACUUAAUCAUUAUAAACUCAAACACCCACAUUUUGGACGCACCACAAGUUAUCCAUGUACGUAUUCUAGAUGUCCCUGUACAUUUAAGACAUGGAAUGCUUUAAUCGUACAUCAAAGUAGAGUGCAUUCCACACAAGAUACUCGGACAUUAAAAGAGUUGUCCAUUUUCAGCUGUCACUUAUGUGCAUGCAAAAAUUUAACUAAUGAAAGGGAGUUUUUUGUCCAUAUAAACACACAUCUGAAGAGAAAUGAAAAUGUUAGUUGCAUGUUUGUCGGCUGUAGUUUUCAAACUAGUAUUUAUGGAACUUUUAAGUCUCAUAAAAAUCGCCGACACACACCUCACACAUUAGCUGAUUUCUUACCAGGUAUUGUAAAAACAACUACAGUAGCAUCUCCACCAUUAGAAGAUUUGUUUUCAGAUAGCCAGGACGAGGACUGUGUGUUGGAGGAAGUUACUGAUUCUUCACGAGAGCUACACAGUGCACUUCCAAGUGCAAUUGAGCAGCAGCUUGCAGCAGCCCUACUAAAAUUGGAAUAUUUAGUUCACGUGCCAGGUACAGCAAUUGACGAUUUUUUACAAGAACUUUACUACUUGAUAAACACAGCAUCAGUCACACUAUCUAAAAGUGUUGUGACUGAUAUUCUUAAACAUCACAACGUACAAGUUGAUGACUCUGUAGUUACAGAAAUCACCAAAGCAGUAUGCUCAUCUAACCCUGUUCCAAAAGCAAUUGAAAAAGGCGGGCCUCUCAGUACUUCAUAUCAUCGUAAACUAUUUUAUAAGGAAAAAUUCUGUGUUGUUGAUCCAGUUACUUACAUACUCAACCAUAAAAAGAAACACACUUUUCAGUAUGUUCCACUCUUGAAAUCAUUGCAGCAAAUUUUAAAUAACAAGGCCAUUCUUGAUAAGGUUAUUGAAAAUCAUAGAGGAAAGCAGGACAUUGAACUUGACCCAUCUGUUGAAUUCAGGUCCCCUGAAGAUGGUUUGCAUUUCAAGAAAAACAGCUUCCUAAAUGCAGAUGAGUUACGGUUAUCACUGCGUCUGUAUGUGGACGAUUUCGAGACCUGCAAUCCCUUAGGCACCUCUCGUAAAAAACAUAAGAUUUGUGGUGUUUACUGGGUACUAAGUAACCUGCCACCAGGCUCCCACUCAUCUUUAUCAUCUAUUUAUCUUGCAGUGCUUUGCAAAAGUUGUGAUGUAAAAACAUAUGAUUAUAAGACAGUUUUGGAACCCCUUCUCCAAGAUAUUAAAAUUCUUGAGGACCAUGGUGUGUAUGUGCCUUUAUUAGGUAAGUUUCUAAAAGGUACAGUGCUGAGUAUUGUGGCGGACAACUUAGGAGCGCAUGGUAUUGCAGGGUUCAUAGAAAAUUUUUCUGGUGAUUACAUCUGUCGCUUUUGCACAGCAAAGAGUUCUGAGUUCAGGAAUCACUGUGUUGCUUCUGGUGCGUUCAGCCUUAGGACUAGAGAGGGCCACGCAGAUCAUGUAAAGUCAGCUUCUGAAAAGAAUACACAUUGCUUUGGAGUUAAGAAAGAGUGCAUUUUUACCAAAACUCUUUCUCAUUUUCAUGUUGUCUCCGGGUUUCCACCUGAUGUUGCUCACGAUAUAUUUGAAGGUGUUGUGCCUGUAGAACUGGCCCACUGCUUGGCAUCACUGAUAACAAAGAAGUUUUUUUACAUUAGAUGAACUGAAUAAAGCUAUACUGACUUUUCCAUACAAGUGGUCGGACAAAACAAACAAGCCACAUAUUGUACCACAGAGUUUCUUAGGUCGGAAAACUAUUGGUGGCAACACUCACGAGAAUUGGAGUUUACUGAGGUUACUCCCAUUUGUGAUAGGUCCCCUUGUCCCAGAAAAUGAGCCAGCAUGGCUUGUGUUGAUGGAUUUAAAAGAUAUUGUGCAGUUAGUUGUUGCUCCUGUGCAUACAGAUGAAUCCAUCUCAUACCUUGAAAGUAAAAUUGUUGAGCACAGACAGAGGUACGAAGACCUGUUCCCUGGUGUCAGACUUGCACCAAAACACCAUUAUCUCGAACACUACACACAGCUGCAUAACACUACGCAGAUGAUAAGGUGUUUUGGCCCUCUAGUCACAGUUUGGACAAUGAGAUUUGAAUCUAAACAUAGUUUUUUCAAGAACAUUGUUAAACACACAAGUUGCUUUGGGAAUGUACCACUGACUUUGGCUUCAAAACAUCAAAUGAUGAUUGCCUUUCACAUAAACUCACCAUCAUAUGGUAAAUCUUGCCUAGAUGUAUCUACUGUGUCCACAGUUCCAGUUGAUGUACUGAAAGAGGAAGUAGCUGAGGCUAUAAAGCUAAAAUGCCCUAGCACAUCUGAAGUGCAUCUGGCUAAGAAUGCAUCAAGCAAUGGCAUAGCCUACAGCAAUGGCAUGAUAGUUGCCUAUGGAUCAGUAGCUGGAUUACCAGAGUUCGCUGAAAUUAGUCAGAUUUGUGUGAUAAAUGAGACGUUGUUCCUGAUUGUGAAAGUGCUGUGUGGGUGGUACACAGAACACUACAGAGCCUUUGAGCUAAGCAUGUCACCAUCCAGAGAAGUAAAACUUGUGGCACUCAGUGAACUCACUGACCCGUAUCCACUGGCCUCUUACAUGGUUGGAUCAAGCCAUAUGGUGACCUUAAAGAGGCAGAUCAUCAUUAAAGACUGAAACGUAGAAGCAUGAAUGCCCCGGCACUUCUCAAAGUCAUCUUGGGUGACAACAGCAGCCAAAGAAUGACUUUCCCAAAUGGACUCCCAGGAACUGUUAAUGAACUAGUUGGUGAGGUACAAAGACAAUGUGGACUUGACUCUAACUUCAGACUUCAGUUUAUGGAUACACUAUUUGGAAAUGAGUUCAUGAACCUCACUUCAAUGGAUGAAGUACAGGAUAGAGGGACAAUUAGAGUGAUUACCUUGACAGGUACCUCCACUCCUCAGUGUGCUAAUGUUCCCCCCACCUCAGCUGCCCAUCACUCCUUUGAUGAAUCCUCAUCCCUGUCCAGUGGAACAGUUGACACUGACAUACUCUCUUCACCAGAGUCAGAGUCAUCCAGCUCUCGGUCAUCUUGGCCGAGCAUCUUUCAUGUUCCUCAGUUUAGUUAUGAUGCAGAGUUGAAACUUCAGCAGGGCAAUGCAGCUUACAGGGAAAAUGGUACAUUGCUAAUUCCAGAUCAUAAACUGAAGUCAAACAUUCUUGAGGGCCUAGUGCAAGAAAUUGUUCGGUACAAACUUUAUGUUUCUGACAAAGACUUUAACACAGUUGGAGAGGCUCUAAUCUCAAAGCAUCCCUGCCUGACUGAGAAAGGCUCACUCUCUGGAUAUGCUGGGUGGAAAUGCAGCUUGAAGAACAAACUGGCGAUCUAUCGCACUCACCUGAGGAAGCUUGGGUGUCAUGAGGUGACAAUAAACUCUCUCAAGCACAAACCAGAGGGCAAAUCAAGCCCUGCCUUUGGCAUUAAAAAACCAAGAAGGUCGGAAGUGAACUACUGUCCGUAUCCUACUGGAGAAUCUGAGAAGAGUCUUGAGAGUGUGAGAAUGGAGCUUGUUUCAGAUGUUAAGAAGAGGAACAACAGGGAGGCUGUAAGGAUGAAAAUGGAGAAGACGUUUGCCUAUAGAAGACAGGAAGUGGUUUGCGACGCACCAAUGAUAAAAGACUUCCAGGCGAGAUGGCCAGCACUUUUUGAAGUAGGCGAGAUUAAUGCUGAAUUCAAGCGGAUCACAACAAUGCCCCUGCAGUCCAGAUUUCUAUCUCAGUUAGAUGUUCACUCUGAGAAACUGAUCAAACUUUUUAAAAACAGAGGAGGACAGAUUGGCAGACGCCUAGGGGACAUCAUUGCACCCAUGGAUGAAUGGGGUGCGUUCACACUCAGCACAACGUCUGAACGGAGCAGCGCAUCAACGUCAUCUUGCAGCCUGGAUCUGAAAUCAAACGCACCCCUUCUGCUGCGGUCGAGUUGAACCGAGGAUGAUGUGGAUCGCGGAAGAGAGUGUGUCAUAAAGGCCCUCUGUGUGUACCUUAACGAGGACCCAGAGAAUCUGUUAAGAGAGUAUGUGGCAGCUGAUGAAUCCCUCCUCCAGGAAUCCAUUGAGGAAACCACCAUGGGUAUAUAUGUCUUGAAACGCAGAGAUGCCAGUGAAAAACCAGAGGACAUUGGCAUUGUACUUGAGUCCCAGAUUGUGAUGCAGGAUUUGGACAAUGUUCCCUUAGCUGCUGCCAUGUUGUUUGGCCUCAUUUAUUCCUUGAACUUAAACUAUCCUGCUGAACUCAAGUACACAUUUGAAGUGCUGCAGAAGGUGGUCAUGGAGCUUGAAGGCAAUGCACUGUCCAAAAAAGCCCAAGUCCUGAAAAACAGACUUUAUCAGUGAACUGGCUAUCCAGGCCCUCCAGCUUGAUUCCUUGCAAGACAUACCUUUUCCAGUUGUUGGACUUUUCUUUUGGGAGAGUGGGAGGCUUUUUUUCCCCCUUUUUUUAAAUUGAACUACAACAGAAUUUGGGGGUGAUUUUUUGUUUACUGUGGACACUGAUAAUGGGAAACAAGCCCCCCUACCAUUGUUUCAGUAUGGAACAUUUACAUGUCUUGUAGUCAGGGUCAGGCUGUGCGCUGUGUACCAUAGAGUUAAAGGACAGGUGUGUAUUCAAGCAAAAAUUCUCUCCAUGUCAGUGUGUUGUAUUAACAUGAACAGGUUCUGCGAAACGGUGUGCACAAGUCUACUUCUUAUCCACACGAACACACAUUUAUGACUUCAUGGACAGUCCUCUUUCCUCACCAAUAAUGCUCUCUUUGUUGAAAAAAGUAUAUUUGUUUGAUUUAUUGUGAGACAUUGCACCUACCUCCUCCAGUUGAACCUUCAUUUUGUGCAAGAGGGAGGCCCUUUUUUCUUUUAAAUUUAAAUUGAACUAUAACAACUUAUAACAACUUUGUUGGAAAAAAAGGCUAUCAAGCUUGUUUGCUGGUAAUACUGUAUGCAUUAUUAUGUCUACCUCUGACAAUUGUUUGAUUUAUUUGGGUGGAGCCCACACACACAAAAUUAUAUUUUUUUUAUAGAACUGAAAUGCAUUACAACCCCCAUUUUUAGGGUUUGGGGUGAGUUUUUCUUUACUUUGAACACUGAUACACUCAUUUCAUGCCGACACCAUGUUUUUUUUUACACUGCAAUUUUUUUUUUGCAACUGUACAUCCUUAAAGAUGUUUUCUGCAGUAUUCUAUUGCUUGAAAUGUU